UUAAGGUUUUGUUUAGGAUUUAGAAUUUGGUUAGGAUUUUAUUUAGGAUUUAGGAUUUGAUUUAGGAUUUAGUUAGGUUUGAUUUAGGAUUUGGUUAGGAUUUGAUUUAAGGUUUACGAUUUGGUUUAGGAUUUGGUUAGGAUUUGGUUUAGGAUUUAGGAUUUGAUUCAAGAUUUAGGAUUUUAUUAGGAUUUGUUUAGGAUUUAAGAUUUAAUUAGUUUUAACCUAUAGUUUGAAUGAAGUCCAAUAAGAUUUUAACUACGAUUAAAUUAAAGUUUAAUUGAGAUAUAUUUGAGAUAUAUUUGUGAUCAUUCUUAUAUUUCUUUAAGAUUUCUUAUUAUUUCUUUGAAAUUUCUUUGAGGUUUCUUUAAAUUUGAUUAAAGCUUGCUUAGCAUUAUUAUGAUCUAAUUAGAUUUUAGUUAAUAUUCUAUUAGAGUUAGGAUUU
rnacentral:lncRNA from 1 species